UUUUGUUGGUCUUUCCCUCCCGGUGGGAAUGCGCAGGCGUGCACACUGCCGGCCUUCUGGCCGGUCUGGGUGCCGUCUCUUCGAGAUCAAUAGGGGCAAACGGGGAGAUACCUAUUGUGGGGAGAGCGGUGAAAUGCGAUGACCCCCAUAAGAGGAACUUCAGCGAAAGCAGUUCUCAAGACUGCCUUCGUUAAUCAAGAACGAGACUGUGGGGAUCAAAGAUGAUCAGAUACCGUCGUAGUCCACUAGCGUAAACGAUGCCGACUCAUCAUUGGGGGGCAUCUCUAACAAGCGCCCCCCAGUGGUUCUCCCCCCUGUAAGAGAAAUCUAAGUUUAUGGGCUCAGGGGGGAGUAUGGCUGCAAGGCUGAAACUUGAAGGAAUUGACGGAAUGACACCACCAGGCGUGGGGUCUGUGGUUUAAUUUGACUCAACACGGCAACCUUGUUACGACUUA
rnacentral:rRNA from 1 species